rnacentral:rRNA from 1 species
UGGGGAAUAUUGCGCAAUGGACGAAAGUCUGACGCAGCGACGCCGCGUGUGGGAGGAAGCUCUUCGGGGUGUAAACCACUGUCAGGAGGGAAGAACGGCGCCGGUUCGAACAGUUCCGGCGAUUGACGGUACCUCCAAAGGAAGCGCCGGCUAACUCCGUGCCAGCAGCCGCGGUAAGACGGAGGGCGCAAGCGUUGUUCGGAAUUACUGGGCGUAAAGCGCGGGCAGGCGGUCUGUUAAGUCGUUUGUGAAAUCCCCGGGCUCAACCCGGGAACUGCAUCCGAAACUUCCAGGCUAGAGUUUCGGAGAGGAAGGCAGAAUUCCCAAUGUAGGGGUGAAAUCCGUAGAUAUUGGGAGGAAUACCAGUGGCGAAGGCGGCCUUCUGGACGAUGACUGACGCUGAGACGCGAAAGCGUGGGGAGCAAACAGGAUUAGAUACCCAUGUAGUCCCUGAGCGGGCUGGCAAGGCGCAU